UACGUAGGGUGCGAGCGUUGUCCGGAAUUAUUGGGCGUAAAGGGCUCGUAGGCGGUCUGUUGCGUCAGGAGUGAAAACUCGGGGCUUAACCCCGAGCCUGCUUCUGAUACGGGCAGACUAGAGGUAUGCAGGGGAGAACGGAAUUCCAGGUGUAGCGGUGAAAUGCGUAGAUAUCUGGAGGAACACCGGUGGCGAAGGCGGCAUCCUGGACCACGACUGACGCUGAGUGAGCGAAAGCGAGGGGAGCAAACGGG
rnacentral:rRNA from 1 species